UGCCCUAUCGGUUUCCUUAUG
rnacentral:piRNA from 1 species